AGCAGAAGAAAAUGAGUUUCAGAAAUGUCAGAAAUUCCCAGGAUCACAUCACUAACAAGUAUGGAACAGUUGGAGUUUGAGGUGAUCAAAAGAGAAAAAGGACAAGAAACACAGGAUCACUAACAAAAAAGGAAGAGCCCAAACAGAAGACUUUGCAUUAGAUCCUGGAAAUUAUUGCCAAGAAGGAAUGUGGCUUGAUGGAAGAAAAUCAAUCAAAGAUAUUCCAACUAAGUGUGAAAUAGCUUUGGUCAAUUUAUGUGCUUCUGAUCAGUUCCUGGAUGAACCAGAAUGAAGUUACACAGGAAAGAUAUUUGGAUUGGCUGAGAAACCUUGCCCACAAAGGGAAGAAAAGGAUUCCCAACAACCAGCAGCUGUGAGUUCCCCUUCUGACAUAUUGCUCUCUUAGUUUGAACCCAUUAGUCCCUAGACUCUGGCUAUCUUCAUGGGACA